rnacentral:rRNA from 1 species
CGGAGCGAAAGCGAGUCUGAAUAGGGCGUUCAGUCGCAUGCCGUAGACCCGAAGCCGAGUGAGCUAUCCAUGGGCAGUGUGAAGCGGAGGUAAGACUCUGUGGAGGCGCGAACCGACUUCAGUUGAAAAUGGAGCGGAUGACCUGUGGAUAGGGGUGAAAGGCCAAUCAAACUCGGUGAUAGCUGGUUCUCCGCGAAAUGCAUUUAGGUGCAGCGUCGUGCGUUCAACGAUAGGGGUAGAGCACUGAAUGGGCUAGGGGUCCUACAAGACUACCGACCCCAAUCAAACUCCGAAUACCAUCGUUCCAGAGCACGGCAGUGAGACCUCGGGGGAUGAGCUUCGAGGUCGAGAGGGAGACAGCCCAGACCGCCAGCUAAGGUCCCAAAAUCUGAACUAAGUGGUAAACGAUGUGAGAUUGCGAAAACAGCCAGGAGGUUGGCUUGGAAGCAGCCAUCCUUUAAAGAGUGCGUAACAGCUCACUGGUCGAGUGAUCUUGCGCGGACAAUGUAACGGGGCUCAAGUUCAGUACCGAAGCUGCGGAUGCGACUCUUUGAGUCGCGUGGUAGCGGAGCGUCGAGCGCGCAGCGAAGCGGCGGGAUAACCCAGCCGUGGAGUGCGUUCGAGUGAGAAUGUUGGCAUGAGUAGCGAAAGAGGGGUGAGAACCCCCUCCGCCGUAUGUCCAAGGGUUCCUGGGCGAGGCAAUCCUCCCAGGGUGAGUCGGGAGCUAAGGCGAGGCCGAAAGGCGUAGUCGAUGCACAACUGGUUGAUAUUCCAGUACCACCAUGUUCGCGACCGUUCCAAUACUUUGUUGCUAAGGGGCUGUGUUGACUUCGGUCAACACGAACCGACCCACAUUGUUGCGGAAAGCUAUAGGGGGACGCAGGAAGGUAGAUGAACCCGGUGAAUGGUAGAACCGGGGUAAGCGUGUAGGAAGAGGACCAGGCAAAUCCGGGCCUCACAUACUCUGAGACGUGAUACCGAGCCGCUUCAGGCGAAGUCAUUAAUCCUAUGCUGCCUAGAAAAGCCCAGUAGCGAGUUGACAUGGUGCCCGUACCCCAAACCAACACAGGUGGACAGGUAGAGCAUACCAAGGCGAGUGGGAUAACUAUGGUUAAGGAACUCGGCAAAUUUCCUCCGUAACUUCGGGAUAAGGAGGACCCCAGUAGCGUGACGAGACUUGCUCUCCGAGCGUGAAGGGGUGGCACAAAAUUGAGGGAAGCGACUGUUUACCAAAAACACAGCAGCGUGCUAAGCCGUAAGGCGCUGUAUACGCUGUGACUCCUGCCCGGUGCUGGAAGGUUACGGGGAUGGGUUAGUCCUUCGGGACGAAGCUCUGAACCUAAGCCCCAGUAAACGGCGGCCGUAACUAUAACGUCCUAAGGUAGCGAAAUUCCUUGUCGGGUAAGUUCCGACCUGCACGAAUGGAGUAACGACUUCCCUACUGUCUCAACCAUAGACCCAGCGAAAUUGAAGUACGAGUAAAGAUGCUCGUUAGCUGCAGAAGGACGGAAAGACCCCGUGGACCUUUACUAUAACUUGAUGUUGUGUUUUGUCAUAUGCUGUGUAGGAUAGGUGGGAGACAAGGAAGCAUGGACGCUAGUCUGUGUGGAGUCAUCGUCG